CUACUAUGUGUGCAGGGGCACUCUGAAGAGCGCGUUGAACUCGGGGUCGCUGCCGCCGAAUGUGUGGCCGGACAGGGCCGGCAUCAUGGGGAGCGCGUAGGGGAAGUCCGGCGGCAAGCGGUCGGCGUACCACACCCGACCGGUCCGGGUGUUCCUCGACAUCCACUUCAUCAACAAGCUGGAGAGAGGCCGAUUCAGGAGUUGCCGCAGUUGAAGAAAAGAUAGAUCAAGACGAGAGCUACAAUAUGCCUGGUACAAUGGAAAAUUUGCUAAUGUUUUAUGGUGACAUCAUACGCGAGGGCCCUUAUGGGCUUGAUGUCUCGAGGUGCACAAGCAAGAGAGUUUUUGUGAAAGACAUGGUCAACAGUGGGUUCAUGGACGUUAAAAGAUGCAUCCAAGCCGAGUUUGGUCCUGAGACGGUUGGAAAGAAUAUGAUUGUCGAAGCUUGCGUCGUCGUAGGUAGGGUUGAUGGGACCCCUGCCCGUUGGGGCUUGAGGCAGGUGAGAGGCGACCUAUCUUGGGGUAGUUACAUGAGGUUUGCAACCACACCUGGUAACUCUAUGUAUGGACGGCCAAUGGUGUAUGUGUGGUUUGUUCAUGCUGGUGUGCUCCGGUUAACUACCACUGGAGGCGCUCACACCCAAUCAGUGGCGCCGAUGGGGGGCAACCAUGUCCGUGAAGAAGGUGUGGUUGUUCCAACCAUGAAUCCCGGACCAUAUCCGUCGGUAGUCGUUGACCUCAACGAAUCCGUGGAGGUACUGUCAGACGAGCUAGAUCAUGGCGAUUAUGCCAGUGGAUCAUCAGAUGAUAGCGACGACGACGAAGGAGGUGAUCCUUCUCAGCCUCUUGCCAUUCAGCAGAGGGCCGUGGUGCCCUCAACGGAGAGAUGGACGGAUAGUGACAUAGCCCGUCAUGAUGCCAUGGUACUAGCAUUUCUGAUCAUCUUGCAAUUUUCACCAAUAAUUCGUUGACACAACAAUGUCGGCUUCACGCAGAUUAGAGACAUGUAGGGGCUCCUUGAGAUUGUGUUGGAAGGCCUUCGGAUGGUACCCCCUCUCCCACAUAGCGAAAAGGCAAUAUUAAUACGAAUUUAUCAACGUGUCAAGGAGUUUAUUGAGCUCUGCAGUGGCGCUCGAAUUAAUGGCAUUGUAUGGUCGGCACUACCAGGCAGGGCGCGUCCAAGCCUCACCACUUCAAUGGAUCAUGAGACCGGGACGCGCCAGGACUCAGUGCUAUUGCGUAUGCCAGCCAGCACUCCCUUGCAGCGCUCUCAGUUCAGCGGUUCACAGCCAGAACGUCAGUUCGGCUCCGGAGCGAUGGAGGUAGAUAAUCCAUCCCCCGAGACCAGCCCUGGUAGAGGACCUACAGGGCAAUUCUCGUACGAUCAAGGCGAGGGUUCUGACGGCGAGGGAUCUGACGGCGAAGAAUCCACAGAUGAAGAAGAGUGUGAUGGCCGUGAUUAACCGGAUCUUCUUCACACGGCGGACGUUCAGCGGGAGAUGGGCGAGGGUAUGCUCUUCACAGCAGCACGAGCAGCCCCGAGGAUCUCCUACUAGUACCCUGGAACUUCGCAGGGCCGUGUGGCUCCUUGAUCCGUGGACAAUGUAACGAGCACUACGACAUAUUUCAGAGCUUGUUAAGCUACCAAGUACCUUCGAUUUCCACUCCGUAAUCGUUUUUACGUCCGAUUUCUCGAGAUCUCCCCAGAUAAAUCGCCUCUCUUGUAGUCCUUUGAUCACGACAGAUUUAUCCGUACUGUUGCUCGUCCACGUCUGCGUCAGGUUUACCAUGCGAUGGCAUGCACCUGAUGGUGGCUUACAAUUGGGCAGCACGCAUUGCAGGCAGUAGACGCAUGCGCAUUGUCUCGGCGAAAGCGAUAAUGUGUGUCCGUCCUUUUCCACCCACGUUCAUUUUGCAUGCAUGUUCCAGAU